AUUUGGAGUCAUCUUACCAGACAGCAUUAGAGUGUAAACUACUCCUUUAAUACUGUCAGGUAAAGAUGUGCCCAAAU
rnacentral:pre_miRNA from 1 species